GAUGAACGCUCGCGGCAGGCCUAAUACAUGCAAGUCGGACGGGAUUCAGGAGCUUGCUUCUGAUGAGAGUGGCGCACGGGUGCGUAACACGUAUGUAACCUACCUUUAUCAGGGGGAUAGCCUCUCGAAAGAGAGAUUAAGCCCGCAUAAAAUCACAGCACAGCAUUGUGUAAUGAUCAAAUAUUUAUAGGAUAAAGAUGGGCAUGCGGAACAUUAGCUAGAUGGCGGGGUAACGGCCCACCAUGGCGACGAUGUUUAGGGGAUCUGAGAGGAUGGCCCCCCACACUGGUACUGAGAAACAGACCAGACUACUACGGGAGGCAGAAGUAAAGAAUAUUAGGCAAUGAGCGGAAGCCUAAACCAGCCAUGCCGCGUGCAGGAAGACGGCCCUACGGGUUGUAAACUGCUUUUAUACGGGAAUAAACCCAGAUACGUGUAUCUGGCUGAAUGUACUGUAAGAAUAAGGAUCGGCUAACUCCGUG
rnacentral:rRNA from 1 species